GGGUUGUGAGGUUAAGCGACUAAGCGUACACGGUGGAUGCCCUGGCAGUCAGAGGCGAUGAAGGACGUGCUAAUCUGCGAUAAGCGUCGGUAAGGUGAUAUGAACCGUUAUAACCGGCGAUUUCCGAAUGGGGAAACCCAGUGUGUUUCGACACACUAUCAUUAACUGAAUCCAUAGGUUAAUGAGGCGAACCGGGGGAACUGAAACAUCUAAGUACCCCGAGGAAAAGAAAUCAACCGAGAUUCCCCCAGUAGCGGCGAGCGAACGGGGAGCAGCCCAGAGCCUGAAUCAGUGUGUGUGUUAGUGGAAGCGUCUGGAAAGGCGCGCGAUACAGGGUGACAGCCCCGUACACAAAAAUGCACAUGCUGUGAGCUCGAUGAGUAGGGCGGGACACGUGGUAUCCUGUCUGAAUAUGGGGGGACCAUCCUCCAAGGCUAAAUACUCCUGACUGACCGAUAGUGAACCAGUACCGUGAGGGAAAGGCGAAAAGAACCCCGGCAAGGGGAGUGAAAAAGAACCUGAAACCGUGUACGUACAAGCAGUGGGAGCACGCUUAGGCGUGUGACUGCGUACCUUUUGUAUAAUGGGUCAGCGACUUAUAUUCUGUAGCAAGGUUAACCGAAUAGGGGAGCCGAAGGGAAACCGAGUCUUAACUGGGCGUUAAGUUGCAGGGUAUAGACCCGAAACCCGGUGAUCUAGCCAUGGGCAGGUUGAAGGUUGGGUAACACUAACUGGAGGACCGAACCGACUAAUGUUGAAAAAUUAGCGGAUGACUUGUGGCUGGGGGUGAAAGGCCAAUCAAACCGGGAGAUAGCUGGUUCUCCCCGAAAGCUAUUUAGGUAGCGCCUCGUGAAUUCAUCUCCGGGGGUAGAGCACUGUUUCGGCAAGGGGGUCAUCCCGACUUACCAACCCGAUGCAAACUGCGAAUACCGGAGAAUGUUAUCACGGGAGACACACGGCGGGUGCUAACGUCCGUCGUGAAGAGGGAAACAACCCAGACCGCCAGCUAAGGUCCCAAAGUCAUGGUUAAGUGGGAAACGAUGUGGGAAGGCCCAGACAGCCAGGAUGUUGGCUUAGAAGCAGCCAUCAUUUAAAGAAAGCGUAAUAGCUCACUGGUCGAGUCGGCCUGCGCGGAAGAUGUAACGGGGCUAAACCAUGCACCGAAGCUGCGGCAGCGACGCUGAUGCGUUGUUGGGUAGGGGAGCGUUCUGUAAGCCUGCGAAGGUGUGCUGUGAGGCAUGCUGGAGGUAUCAGAAGUGCGAAUGCUGACAUAAGUAACGAUAAAGCGGGUGAAAAGCCCGCUCGCCGGAAGACCAAGGGUUCCUGUCCAACGUUAAUCGGGGCAGGGUGAGUCGACCCCUAAGGCGAGGCCGAAAGGCGUAGUCGAUGGGAAACAGGUUAAUAUUCCUGUACUUGGUGUUACUGCGAAGGGGGGACGGAGAAGGCUAUGUUGGCCGGGCGACGGUUGUCCCGGUUUAAGCGUGUAGGCUGGUUUUCCAGGCAAAUCCGGAAAAUCAAGGCUGAGGCGUGAUGACGAGGCACUACGGUGCUGAAGCAACAAAUGCCCUGCUUCCAGGAAAAGCCUCUAAGCAUCAGGUAACAUCAAAUCGUACCCCAAACCGACACAGGUGGUCAGGUAGAGAAUACCAAGGCGCUUGAGAGAACUCGGGUGAAGGAACUAGGCAAAAUGGUGCCGUAACUUCGGGAGAAGGCACGCUGAUAUGUAGGUGAGGUCCCUCGCGGAUGGAGCUGAAAUCAGUCGAAGAUACCAGCUGGCUGCAACUGUUUAUUAAAAACACAGCACUGUGCAAACACGAAAGUGGACGUAUACGGUGUGACGCCUGCCCGGUGCCGGAAGGUUAAUUGAUGGGGUUAGCGCAAGCGAAGCUCUUGAUCGAAGCCCCGGUAAACGGCGGCCGUAACUAUAACGGUCCUAAGGUAGCGAAAUUCCUUGUCGGGUAAGUUCCGACCUGCACGAAUGGCGUAAUGAUGGCCAGGCUGUCUCCACCCGAGACUCAGUGAAAUUGAACUCGCUGUGAAGAUGCAGUGUACCCGCGGCAAGACGGAAAGACCCCGUGAACCUUUACUAUAGCUUGACACUGAACAUUGAGCCUUGAUGUGUAGGAUAGGUGGGAGGCUUAGAAGUGUGGACGCCAGUCUGCAUGGAGCCGACCUUGAAAUACCACCCUUUAAUGUUUGAUGUUCUAACGUUGACCCGUAAUCCGGGUUGCGGACAGUGUCUGGUGGGUAGUUUGACUGGGGCGGUCUCCUCCUAAAGAGUAACGGAGGAGCACGAAGGUUGGCUAAUCCUGGUCGGACAUCAGGAGGUUAGUGCAAUGGCAUAAGCCAGCUUGACUGCGAGCGUGACGGCGCGAGCAGGUGCGAAAGCAGGUCAUAGUGAUCCGGUGGUUCUGAAUGGAAGGGCCAUCGCUCAACGGAUAAAAGGUACUCCGGGGAUAACAGGCUGAUACCGCCCAAGAGUUCAUAUCGACGGCGGUGUUUGGCACCUCGAUGUCGGCUCAUCACAUCCUGGGGCUGAAGUAGGUCCCAAGGGUAUGGCUGUUCGCCAUUUAAAGUGGUACGCGAGCUGGGUUUAGAACGUCGUGAGACAGUUCGGUCCCUAUCUGCCGUGGGCGCUGGAGAACUGAGGGGGGCUGCUCCUAGUACGAGAGGACCGGAGUGGACGCAUCACUGGUGUUCGGGUUGUCAUGCCAAUGGCACUGCCCGGUAGCUAAAUGCGGAAGAGAUAAGUGCUGAAAGCAUCUAAGCACGAAACUUGCCCCGAGAUGAGUUCUCCCUGACCCUUUAAGGGUCCUGAAGGAACGUUGAAGACGACGACGUUGAUAGGCCGGGUGUGUAAGCGCAGCGAUGCGUUGAGCUAACCGGUACUAAUGAACCGUGAGGCUUAACCUUACAACGCCGAAGCUGUU
rnacentral:rRNA from 1 species